rnacentral:rRNA from 1 species
UCCGUAGGUGAACCUGCGGAAGGAUCAUUAUCGAAUAAACUUGAACAGGUUGUUGCUGGCCCUCUGGGGCAUGUGCACGCUUGUCCAUCUUUAUCAUUUCUCCAACUUGUGCACUUAUUGUAGACCAUUAGAUUUGGGGACUGCUGUGCUUUUCAUCAGUCGGCUUUCCCUUUCUUUUAUAUCAUUCAAGGUCUAUAUGAUUUUCACAAUCUCAUAAAUGUCGAAUGUAUAUUAAAAAUGAAAGAAAUAUAUACAACUUUCAGCAACGGAUCUCUUGGCUCUCGCAUCGAUGAAGAACGCAGCGAAAUGCGAUAAGUAAUGUGAAUUGCAGAAUUCAGUGAAUCAUCGAAUCUUUGAACGCAUCUUGCGCUCCUUGGUAUUCCAAGGAGCAUGCCUGUUUGAGUGUCAUCAAGUUCUCAACCACAUAUUUUUUGUGGCUUGGAUUGUGGGGUGUUGCCGGCUUUUUAUACAAGUAGGCUCUCCUUAAAUGCAUAAGUGGUAUUUAGAAAAGCUACGUGUUGGAUGUUAUAAAUUAAUAAUACACCUUUUUGGCGAUUCUACUAUACUGCUUCCAACCCUGUUUUUGUUUGACCAUUUUGACCUCAAAUCAGGUGGGACUACCCGCUGAACUUAAGCAUAUCAAUAAGCGGAGGAAAU